GCCUCUGUGGCGGAAUUGGUAGACGCACUUGACUCAAAAUCAAGCGCCGUAAGGCGUGCCGGUUCGAUUCCGGCCGGAGGCA
rnacentral:tRNA from 2 species